ACUCAUUUGAAAUCUUCUCCAGGACACUAUCAAUCCAAUGGAAAGGCUGAGUCAGCAGUUAAAAUUUUGAAGAACAUAAUGAAGAAAUCUAGAGAAUCAAAGUCAGAUGCUUAUGAAGCUCUUCUGGAAUUUAGAAAUACUCCAAGGCAAGACACAAAUCUAAGCCCAGUUCAGAUGUUUUUUGGUCGGAUGACUCGAACACUGAUACCAAACAAAAGGAGUAACAUUAAGAUUUCUACAUGUCAAGAGAACUUUGUGAGAAGGAAAGAAAAACGUCAGAUGAGUGUAAAAACAUCUUAUGAUAAGAAGUCAAGAAAUUUAAGUCAGCUGAGAACUGGACAGAUGGUCUAUUUCCAAUCUCCUAAUGACCCUACAUGGAGACGUGGAAGAAUCCAGUCUCAAGUCAAUCAGAGAGCUUACAUAAUUCGAGGUGACAAUGGUGCAGUGUACCAAAGAAACAGAGUGCGUAUCAACCCGAACAGAGAAACAGAAGAAGUUAUAUUUCCCGAUACUGAUGACAACAUACAGGACAAUAGAACUCAUGAUCAACACAUUCGCCACUCAUCAACUCAUCAUUCACUGCGACCAAGGGAUCAGUUGAAGAAACCGACAAGAUUCAAUGACUAUUUGUCUUAAUGAACUAUUGAAUGUUGAUUUUUUAAAUGUGAUAUGUUUUAUAUUCAUUGAAGCGUAUAUAUGUAGUAUGUUAUGUUUAGUUUUUUAUGUUGUGGUUUUGUUUUAUUUUUUUCUAUGAUACUCCCCGAAAUGUUUUAUUUUUUAAUUUUUUUUUUAAAGAAAAGGGGAUGUUGAUAUGGUGCGCAAAGGUGCACGCGUUCAAUAUAAUAAAGUAUCAUUCUCCGCCAUGACUCUAAUGGUUGUUGUUUGUUUAUUGCUGACUGUGAACCUAGAUCUUAAUUAACACUGUAGAAGUGUGAACAUGGGUGAUUCUAAAACGAAACGCUGACAAAUCCCCAUAUUAUGUGGUAGUAUGCUCUAAUCUGCAGAUUUACUGUUACCAAAAUUGACUAAAAGAUAGCGUGACUUGUAAAAUGUGCACUAUAGCCACUAUAGGCGUUACAGGACUAUUUUUGGGUUGGUUCGUUGCAAGAUCCCGGAAUUUCCCGGCUACGAAACCAUUAACAAAACCACAAUUGUAGUCUGUUGGGAAAAGAGAAAGAUGUAGAUUAGAAGAAUAAUUGAGAACAAUAAAUUGCCGGAAUCCUCUGCCAAGAGAUGCAUUGAAAUUAGGCUUACUUAUUUCCGCGCCAAACCUAUUCAAGAACCUUGAUGAUUCAAUGAAGAUAACGUUCAUCAAGGAACAUUCAACGCUAAAGUUUAUUCCUGGAUAGCUCUAGUCACGUUAGAGGACGUAGAUACACGAACUCAGAUCUAGGAAGGUGCAGUACCCUUCAAGUUCUUGUGAAUAUAAUCCAUAUACAUGUGCGCCUUCAACUGCCGAAGCCUUUUAACAAGUGACUCGAAUCAGAAUUCGAUAACGAAACAGUAGUGUCUUAAGACAUACAGGAAUUGAACUUUUACUUACUGAAGUCGUCAUUAACAAUUUACGUAAUAUUGAUGAAUAGAGAUCUGUUCAAAUAGUAUGAAUAGUGUGGGACGAUGGAGGGGAGUGCAAAGAGAGUAGUCUUGUAAUAACUGUCGAAAUGGUUGUUGCUGAAUUUAAAGAAGAUUUGUGAUUGUAAUUAGAGGCCAACUCAAGCAAUAUAUUUGAUUCUAAGACUCCCAUCCACUGGUCAGGCAUCAAUCACAGCAACAGCACAUUCCUUUAGAAACAUUACAUUAAGUUGAACAGUGACACAUUUUCCUAAUGACAACAGUAGUAAACAGCAAAUGUCGUGCCAGCACUCUGUCAGUACGAGAACCAUAAUCGAGUGCUGAUAGUGGAAGGUAGUUGAAAGCCAGUCAUAGAAUCAGCUUCACACCAAGCCAGACUUCAAUAACAAGACAUUUAUUAGAGCACAAAGUAUUGAAGCUGGCUGUAAAUAGGUUUA